rnacentral:misc_RNA from 1 species
AUAUUUUUUAAAAUGUCAUUUCCCCGUGUCUAUUUCCACAUUUCCCGUGUUAAUGUUUCCAUUUCCAUACUAUGCUGUGAAUCAUUAUUUAUAACACUUGUACGGGAUAAUUCCAUGACUUAUAUUCUCAACUUUUUGAGAAUUUAAGUUCCUAACAAGAAACUAAUGGACUAUUCGAUUAAACAUAUACUCUUUAUUAAAGCCAUUUUAUUAGAAAAUUAAGUUUACAAUACACAACAUUAUGGCAUUGCUCUAUGGCAUAUUACCAACACAAAAAUACCUUGAUGACAUAGACACU